rnacentral:rRNA from 1 species
UACUGAGGGCGCGAGCGUUAUCCGGAAUCACUGGGUUUAAAGGGUGCGUAGGCGGCGAGGUAAGUCAGUUGUGAAAUUCCCCGGCUUAACCGGAGGGACUGCGAUUGAUACUGCUUUGCUUGAAACAGGUUGAGGUAAGCGGAAUGUGGCAUGUAGCGGUGAAAUGCAUAGAUAUGCCAUAGAACACCGAUUGCGAAGGCAGCUUGCUGGGCCUUGUUUGACGCUGAGGCACGAAAGCGUGGGGAGCAAACAGG